AAUAGCCUGAGCUAUACAGUAGCUAUGUACUUUAUAUCCUAUGUAUGGCAACCUGUAGUAGUUAAGUUAUUUUGAGUGUCCCUCUAAUUAACACUAUUAAUUGACAGAACUGACAGCAGCCUGGAGAGUUCUUUACUGAAACCCUGCACAUACAGACUCCAAGCACCAUCACCACUUUAAAGCAUUGAAAUGGUGAUAGUGCUCGGAGUAACUCUAUAAUAUACCCUUGGCAUCUAUCAAUAUCCAAUCUGAAUGUCUCGCAUACAGGUUCACAUUCC